rnacentral:rRNA from 1 species
CCUGGUUGAUCCUGCCAGUAGUCAUAUGCUUGUCUCAAAGAUUAAGCCAUGCAUGUCUCAGUACAGGCCUUUCUAAGGCGAAACCGCGAAUGGCUCAUUAAAUCAGUCAUGAUUCAUUAGAUUAAGCCAAAAAUUUACUUGGAUAACUGUGGUAAUUCUAGAGCUAAUACAUGCAACUGAGCUCCGACCCGGCCGUCAGGCUGGGGAAGAGCGCUUUUAUUAGAUCAAAAACCAAUCGGACUUCGGUCCGUAUCAAAUGAGUUGUGGUGACUCUGAAUAACUUUAGCCGAGCGCAACGGGCUUAGUCCCGGCGCCGUAUCUUUCAAGUGUCUGCCUUAUCAGCUUUCGAUUGUAGGUUAUACGCCUACAAUGGCUGUAACGGGUAACGGGGAAUCAGGGUUCGAUUCCGGAGAGGGAGCCUGAGAAACGGCUACCACAUCUAAGGAAGGCAGCAGGCACGCAAAUUACCCACUCCCAGCUCGGGGAGGUAGUGACGAAAAAUAACGAUGCGGGACUCUUCCGAGGCCUCGCAAUCGGAAUGAGUUCACUUUAAAUCCUUGGACGAGGAUCCACUAGAGGGCAAGUCUGGUGCCAGCAGCCGCGGUAAUUCCAGCUCUAGUAGCGUAUAUUAAAAUUGCUGCGGUUAAAAAGCUCGUAGUUGGAUCUCUGAUUUGGACCGGCGGCCCACUCAAGGAUAGCCCUCGCUGACAAUGGGAGGCGCUUUACGUUCGCUUCGGCGCCCCGGACGGGCGUGGCCGCCCUCAUCGAGGUAGUGGUCGCGUUCCGCACGGGGGUCAAACGCAGUGGCGACGUGGGCCCUCUUACAGGCGGGUAAGCGAUCCCGGUGGUUCACUGUCCGGCUCCGGAUUGAAAAUGCCGUCGGCUCGCACGGGGUGCUCUUCACCGAGUGUCCCGCGUGGCCGACAAGUUCACUUUGAAAAAAUUAGAGUGCUCAAAGCAGGCAAUAACUCACGCCUGAAUGGUGUUGCAUGGAAUGAUAGAACAGGACCUCGGUUCUGUCCUUUUUAUUGGUUUUCUGAACCCGAGGUAAUGAUUAACGGGAACAGACGGGGGCAUUAGUAUUGCGACGCUAGAGGUGAAAUUCUUGGACCGUCGCAAGACUAACUACUGCGAAAGCAUUUGCCAAGAAUGUUUUCAUUAAUCAAGAACGAAAGUUAGAGGAUCGAAGGCGAUCAGAUACCGCCCUAGUUCUAACCAUAAACGAUGCUAACUGGCGAUCCGUCGGCGUCAUUCCCACGACUCGACGGGGAGCCCCCGGGAAACCAAAGUCUUUGAGUUCCGGGGGAAGUAUGGUUGCAAAGCUGAAACUUAAAGGAAUUGACGGAAGGGCACCACCAGGAGUGGAGCCCGCGGCCGUAAUGGCC